rnacentral:lncRNA from 1 species
GUGUACAGGCAUGGUCCUCACAAUAAACGGAUUUGAUUUGUAUACCUAGGCAAUUUAGGAUGUAACCCUCUGCACAUUUACUUUGCUGUACACCUCAUUGAAGUGAGUGGAGUUUACUUUUGACUAAGCAGUAUUAGGAUUGCCCUGUUGCACCAAAUUCUAAACCCACUUACUUGGAAAUAAGCUCCACUGAAUUCAAGAGUAGGCGUGGUUAGGAUUGUGCUGUUAAUCAGUUUAUUCAGCUCAAGGCACUUGGGUCAAUAUAGGCUAAUAUAUGGCAAGCUUUAUAAUCUGCAGGGUCCUGUGUGCAGCCCUUAUUUUUUUGGGUGUGUGUUUGUCAUUAUUCACCUUAGUAAAUGUGACUAUUUCAAAGUUGAGUGAAUGGAGAGAUGAUAAUAAUAAUGUUUCUGCAAUAAUCCAAUAAUCCCUCCUUCCAGAACACAUUUUAAAGGGUGUUACAUGUCAAUCAGCCAAAGGCCUGGUUAAAGGGCAACGUUUUCACCUGGUGCCUAAAUGGCCGGGGCCAGCCCAAGACAUGUUGCUGUCUGAGGCAAAGGACAAAAUGCCCUCCUCUUUCCAUGUACAGAAGCCAAACUGGACCUUGCAAACACCAUCUGAAGCUCUCCAUGUUAUGUUAUGUAUUGUGUAUUUAUACUGUAAACUGCCCUAUGAUCUUCAGAUACAAAUUUAAUAAAUAACAAUAAUAAUAAAUAACAAUCUUACUUCAACAUCAGUAACGGAACAGUCUUCUGCUGCUCCCAAGGACACCUGACUAGCUUAGAGGGUAUGUGACUGGCCAGUGGUAGACAUUGCUCCAAUAUCCAACAGAGAGGAAUGACAUGGGGGGCUUAUAAGGAAUGGCUACUGCCAGGAUCUGCUGGGUCAGAUGACCUACCUAAUGGUGGGUCUGGCUCUGGGUAGGGAAAAGUACCUAGGAGUCACUGGAAAGACCUUAUAGGAUGUUGGAGUAUUAUCAAGCACUUUAUUUGUAUGUCGCCUUUCCAAUGUUAAAACCGGGCUCAAGGCGGCUUACACAUAUUUAAAAAUUGCAUAGCUAAAAGCAUAACAAAAGUCAUAUACAGUAAACAAAAUAUCGAAACACACACACAGAGCAACAACGGCAAGAACCCCAUUAAACACCCCAGCCCAAGAGUCUGUUCAGCAACCUCCGCUUGUGUAGCUGGAGUCAGUUCCACUCCCAGGCCAGGUGGGAAAAGGCCUGCAAGGCAAGGAGCAGGUCUUCCAGGACAGGCCGCAUGUAGCAUACACGCAGAGACAGCUAGAUGAGGAAACAUAAUAUAAUGCUUGCACCUCACUUUUAGGUGGGGUUAUACCAGCAAUUGUUGGGUGGAAAGUGUGGUGCAAGCUUGAAAAUUGCUCUAGAAAAUAGAAAACACAAUAUUGUGUUUUUUUAAACUGUCACUGUGCACUCAUGUCUUUUGAAGGAGAAAGAUUAGAGUACGAAUUAUACAUCCAAUAAGUAAACCAUCUUCUGAAGAGCAUGAACCUCUGUAUCAGGGUGCUGGAUGGAUGACCUAGAUUUUUUAAAAGUUUACCAGAUUGUCAUAUCCCUCGAUUGCCACCCCUGAAACUUAACUUUCAAGUGCUGAUGAAAUGGUGGUUAUAUUAAGGGACAAGAAAGCAGCUAAUGGGAUCUUUAACCACAAGAUACAAUAAUGCCAUUUUAAAUUGAGUUCUUUUGUGGCAGGCUGUCUGGAUAAUAUUGCUAAAGCUGAGCUUCAGUUGGGAAGUAAGUGGUGCAUGUGCUGUGAAAGGCAAGCUGCAGAGUGAUAACAAGCUAUCUCUGCCAUGCAAAAAAAGAAAAGUGUGUGAGGGGGAGGGGGAACAAUCUAUUUCCAUCAACUCAACAGUGUGUGUCAUGGUAAAUACGGGCCCAUGAUACUCGGCCAAAGAAACAUACCAUAUUGAUUGAUGUUACUGAAUCCAGUGUGUUCCUUGUGCAUAAAUGUGCUGAUGUGUCAUAGGCAGGAGACCCAUGUUCAAUUUUCAGCACCUAGUUGAGGAUAUUAUGUGCUUGGAGAUCUACUGCCAGUUAAAGUACUCUAGCUAGAUGAAGUAAAGCAGACUAGAAUUACCAACUAUUGCUUUCCAAAAUUCUAUUACUUGAGUGAGGCUAUGGCCAGAGGCAACCCCUCCCCCCCAAAAAACCCCCAAUCUGGACCACCCCAAGGUAAAUUCGCAAGCACAGUACUGAAUCUGGCAAAAACAAUGCCACUUAGUUUGGAAAUUGGGUUCAGACUCAGAAGGCUGUACCCAAUGUUAGGUUUCCUCAGAGUAGACCCAUUGGAGUUAGUUGCUUCCAUUCAUUUCAGUGAAUCCACACUAAAAUAGACUAAACAAUGGAUGCAACCAAAAGUCCUAAUGAUGAAGGUGUGAACUCUGGCAUGGACACACUGCAGAGUGAAAGGGGUUUCCUUCUAAACAAUUGAGUGACCAAAUAAUUCCAUAUUUAGCUGUUCAGGAAUAAAUUAUUGGGAAAAAGAAAGUAAACAUUUUAGAGAAAAGGAGAAGCUAUACCAUAUUUAGAGCUGAACACAACACACUAAAAGUGUCUACAUUUUCCUAAAAAGAGCAAAGCUUGGAAGAGCUGAUAUUAUUAAGUCAUUAUUUUAGUAUUACUGUUUCUUUCUAAUAAGAGAGGAAUAGUAUAUUAACAGCAAAAAGAAAAAUGUAUAUUGACAGGAUCGCCCAGUCGCAUGCUUAAGACAUUCCACACUAACGUAACUGCACACAUGGAGAUUCCAGCACGUAUAUGCAAACAUAUGGUUAACUAAGCAGAUUGUUACUCAGAUUCAUCCUUAAGCAGAUUGCUAACUGGGUUACUUAACAGAAAUACAAGUGUAUUUACUGAAACCAGCUCUGCCUCACAGUUGGUUGCUGUGGUAAUGCAAUACUUUUAUGGGGCUUGGAUCUAUACUGUUGUUUUGGAAGAGAAGGAGAAUUCUUUUUUCUCUGAAUGGAAUCAAAUGUUUCUCCUCACUGUAAGGUGAGAUGACUUUUGUGGUUGAAGGGAUAAAAGUUUGGAUUCAAGGUGACUAGAAAAGGCUCAGUUCACAGUCCCGCCCCCCAUAUUUAUUUCCUGCCUGUCUUCUGACAGGGAAGCCAAGGUGGUGCUCAUGGGCUACCCAUCCAGAUUCAGAACUGCUUCACACCAGCAGGUGGUGAACUCCUUUGCACCCUGGACAUAGCAAAGAGGAAAGAGGGCCAUGGUCCUAGGAGCCUGCCAUCUGUAAAAUAAAUAUAAAAAUAUUUUGUAUUCGUUUGACUGCCCUUCAGCUGUCUGUGGACAAAUACCGGUCCCUCAGCCUGAAAAGCGAGAUGAGCACCGCACUCCAAAGUCGCCUUCGACUGGACUGAACCAUCCAGGGGUCCUUUACCUUUUUACCUUUUACCUCUACUUCUCCACCACAUUCAAGGUUCUUGCAUUAAUUUAUAAGCCCUGAAAAGGUUAGCGCCAGGUAUCCUAGGGUCCACCUUAACCUUUAUAUCCCAGCUUGAUCACGAAGAUCAUCUGUGGGAGUUUUGUUGCCCCACUCCACCAAGUGGAUGAGGCUUAUUUGACAUCAACAGGAAAUAGAGCCCAGUCUUAUGGAAUACCCUGCCCCUAAAGAGCCACCAGGUGUCUUCUGUUCCAGGUUCAAAGUGCCAUCAGGCUUAUGCAGGCAGUUUAGAAAAUAUAUUUCUGUAGUAGUUAGUUGACUGUCUCUGGUUUUUAUUAUGUACAGAUGCACUGCUUUGAUAUAUUUAUGAUAUAUGUAUAUAACUGUGUUUAUUAAUGAAUACUAAAAUAUGUUUUGUGUGUGCAAAAGCAAGCCUUAGGCUCCCCCCACCCCAGUGUUUGGUAUGUAUACCUCUGGAGCAUACAUGAGUACAUGUAUAUGCUGCUUGCACAGGUGAAUAGUUUGGGGAGGAGUUUCUUGCAGGCACCUCAGUCCACAUAAAUGACCAGGCAUGGGUCUAUGAACCCUCCGCUGUAGAUGGCUGGGUGCACAGCCUCUUAGGCUUUAAAUGUGUGGCAACGGCUAAGUCACUGUCUCGCUCCCUUGGCCCUCCAUCAGUAAAAUGCUGAUGAUAGUGACUCACAUUUGUAGCAGAGGAAUAGCUUUAUAUUCAUUGUCAGCCUAACUGCACAAGCAACUACCCAGUCUCUUGGGACACUGCAAGAGAGUCAAAGAAGGAAGUAGCAUGCAGUCUUGAGAGGUGCACACCUUACCAAAGGCAGGGAGUGCAACUCUCAGAUCACACAGUGCAUCAGUGUGGGUCAACAACAUGUCUGGAACCAUUUUUUGUUUGAUCUCUACUGAUGUAUCUUGAAAGUUUACAAUGACCACUCUUGGGCUGGGAGAGGCCAUAGCUAAUUAAACGAUAGCAUUUAAAUGCCUGUAUCUAGGUCAUGUCUGUAUUGCUACACAUUCUUGGUUUUUAUUAAAAACUCUAGUAGCAAGGCCAAUGAACAUUCUC